rnacentral:rRNA from 1 species
AGAGUUUGAUUCUGGCUCAGGAUGAACGCUGGCGGCGUGCUUAACACAUGCAAGUCGAGCGAAGCGCUCACGCGGAAUUUUUCGGAAGGAAGCGGGAGUGACUUAGCGGCGGACGGGUGAGUAACGCGUGGGUAACCUGCCCCAUACCGGGGGAUAACGGUUAGAAAUGACCGCUAAUACCGCUUAAGCGCGCGAGGCCGCAUGGCCACGCGCGAAAAACUCCGGUGGUAUGAGAUGGGCCCGCGUCUGAUUAGCUAGUUGGCGGGGUAACGGCCCACCAAGGCGACGAUCAGUAGCCGACCUGAGAGGGCGACCGGCCACAUUGGGACUGAGACACGGCCCAAACUCCUACGGGAGGCAGCAGUGGGGAAUAUUGCACAAUGGGGGAAACCCUGAUGCAGCGACGCCGCGUGAGCGAUGAAGUAUUUCGGUAUGUAAAGCUCUAUCAGCAGGGAAGAAGAUGACGGUACCUGACUAAGAAGCCCCGGCUAACUACGUGCCAGCAGCCGCGGUAAUACGUAGGGGGCAAGCGUUAUCCGGAUUUACUGGGUGUAAAGGGAGCGUAGACGGCGAUGCAAGCCAGAUGUGAAAGCCCGGGGCUCAACCCCGGGACUGCAUUUGGAACUGUGUGGCUGGAGUGUCGGAGAGGCAGGCGGAAUUCCUAGUGUAGCGGUGAAAUGCGUAGAUAUUAGGAGGAACACCAGUGGCGAAGGCGGCCUGCUGGACGAUGACUGACGUUGAGGCUCGAAAGCGUGGGGAGCAAACAGGAUUAGAUACCCUGGUAGUCCACGCCGUAAACGAU